GGCGGGCUAAUACCGGAUGUGAUGGUUUAGCGUAUGCUGGAUUGAUCAAAGGCGGGGACCUUCGGGCCUGCCGCUUGAAGAGGAGCCCAUGUCCCAUCAGCUAGUUGGCAGGGUAACGGCCUACCAAGGCUUACGGGUAGCUGGUCUGAGAGGAUGGUCAGCCACACUGGGACUGAGACACUGCCCAGACUCCUACGGGAGGCUGCAGUCGAGGAUCUUUUGCAAUGGGCGCAAGCCUGACAAAGCGACGCUGCGUGGAGGAUGAAGGCCUUCGGGUUGUAAACUCCUGUCAUCCGGGAAAAACCGUUGUCUGGUGAAUAAUCAGGCAAUUUGAUGGUACCGGAAGAGGAAGCCACGGCCAACUCUGUGCCAGCAGCCGCGGUAAUACAGAGGUGGCGAGCGUUGUUCGGAUUUACUGGGCGUAAAGGGUGCGUAGGUGGCAUGGCGUGUCGGGCGUUAAAUCCCACGGCUUAACCGUGGAACGCCGUCCGAAACUGCCGUGCUAGAGUUCAGGAAAGGAGAGCGGAAUUCUUGGUGUAGCGGUGAAAUGCGCUGAUAUCAAGAAGAACACCAGCGGCGAAGGCGGCUCUCUGGAAUGCAACUGACACUGAGGCACGAAAGCUGGGGGAGCAAACAGGAUUAGAUACCCUGGUAGUCCCAGCCCUAAACGGUGUGAACUUGGCGUGGGGGGAAUUGACCCCCCCCGUGCCGAAGCUAACGCGUUAAGUUCACCGCCUGGGGAGUACGAUCGCAAGAUUAAAACUCAAAGAAAUUGACGGGGGCCCGCACAAGCGGAGGAGCAUGUGGCUCAAUUCGAUCAACGCGAAGAACCUUACCAGGGCUUGACAUGUAGGUCACGCCCGCCGAAAGGCGGGAAGCCUUCGAGGGUCCUACACAGGUGCUGCAUGGCUGUCGUCAGUUCGUGCCGUGAGGUGUUGGGUUAAGUCCCGCAACGAACGCAACCCUUGUGCUUAGUUGCCAACGCGGGUGAUGAAUCCGCGGGAACUCUAGGCAGACUGCCCGUGUAAGCGGGAGGAAGGUGGGGAUGACGUCAAGUCAGUAUGGCCUUUAUGCCCUGGGCUGCACACGUGCUACAAUGGCUGGUACAGAAGGAAGCGAAACCGCGAGGUGAAGCAAAUCCCCAAAACCAGCCCCAGUUCAGAUUGAAGUCUGCAACUCAACUUCAUGAAGUCGAGUUGCAGACU
rnacentral:rRNA from 1 species